rnacentral:rRNA from 1 species
UAGGGAAUCUUCCGCAAUGGACGCAAGUCUGACGGAGCAACGCCGCGUGAGUGAAGAAGGAUUUCGGUUCGUAAAACUCUGUUGUUAGAGAAGAACAGCGCAUAGAGUAACUGUUAUGCGUGUGACGGUAUCUAACCAGAAAGCCACGGCUAACUACGUGCCAGCAGCCGCGGUAAUACGUAGGUGGCAAGCGUUGUCCGGAUUUAUUGGGCGUAAAGCGAGCGCAGGCGGUCAAUUAAGUCUGAUGUGAAAGCCCCCGGCUCAACGGGGGAGGGUCAUUGGAAACGGGUUGACUUGAGAGCAGAAGAGGAGGGUGAAGUUCCAUGUGUAGCGGUGAAAUGCGUAGAUAGAUGGAGGAACACCAGUGGCGAGGGCGACUCUCUGGUCUGUAACUGACAAAGAGGCUCAAAAGCGUGGGUAGCGAACAGG